AUCUAAAGCCUAGUAGAAGGGGCUGCUGGCAGCCUGGUUUCUGAUCUUGCUUCAGUGAAGGAAGAGGUUCCCUAUGCUGCUCUGAUUUGGUCCUAUGAAGACAAAGUGGAGUGAAGUGGGAUUAACAUAAAGAAAAAAAAGACAUCAGAAGAAAAGCCUAGCCUGAACAAGACUUCACACAGAAGAUGGUUACAAAAAUGACUCCAAAGGUGGCAGUAUCCUUUAGGCUGCAGGGAGAGAGGUGACCAGUUGCAUACAGCAGGUGGUAGAAUGAGCCAGGAAUACUUAGAUGCUUUCUGAACACCAGUAUGAGCAUUGGAGUGUGCAAAAUCAACAGUCUCCAGUUCUUGUUGAUUUACCUAAUUUGCAGUGAAUUGGCUAAGGUUUGGAAGUGAAAGAUUGAGCAAAUGUACUUGUGGCAAAAUCAUUUGAAGGAGUCAGGAUGAAAAAUGAUGUACAUAUUGUUCCUGAAGACAGCAAGUCACAGAGACAUGAUUCAAGGCUGGAUCUUAGGAAGAGCAAGUAGAAGCAAGGCUAUAUCAGAGAUGAAGUGAAGGAUGCCAGGCAUACCUCUGGACCUGAAUUUCUCCAGCAAAUAGAGCAGACUGCUUAGAGCUCUUCCUUGGUGAAAUGAAAUCGUAUUACUUUGUAGGAAAGCUCACUCUAAUGUUUUCAAUCUCUGUAGAAUUCAAUAUGCAUUCCAAUUGCUUGAGAAGAAUGGCUUUUAAAGACAGCGUAGGUAAGACAUGCUUUUGGUUUGUAGCACAGUGGCUGUCGCAUCCUGCAGAUUCUGUCCCUCUUCCAUUGGAGAUUUCUCCAGGACACUUCCUGAAGGAGUUCACUCUUUUCUUUUAGUUCACAAAAUGAUUUGGGUUUGGGUAUGGAUGAUGGGGAACAAGAGUUAAGGAAAAAAAACUAAAAUCCUCAGUAAAGGGCAUUAGUGUUCAUGAAGUUUUUGCUUCCUGUUAUACAUUCCUGCCAUAGAAUGAACUAAAUUUUUGGAUUUUCUUCAAAGAUAGAAUGUGAUUGUGCUCAGAGUAUUAUGGCAGCCAAAAGGAAACCUACAAUCCAUAUCCCUUUUGCUCUUCAGUGUAGAACGAUUAUGAACAGAGAGGCAGACAUUUCCCACUGCACACAAACCUCAUCCUAUGAUACCUGUAUUGUGAAUUAGAAAAACUUCCUUGAAGUCUUCUAUAAGAUGCUGUUCUUGGACCAGAGAUACAUUAAGAGAAUUUGUGUCUUUCAUGGUACUUCUCAGCUGUCUUAUAAAAACUGUAUUCUUCGGUGUUACAGCAGAACUUUUCCAAGCAGUUGUCACUAAAGACUUUGUGGACUGUAGCUUUUCCCUCUGCCUUUCUGGCUAUUUCUGUUGGUUAAUGCAUAGAGAAGGAAGAAUCACAUCUCUGAUCUUUAUGGCCUUUCUCUGCGAGGCUCAGCCCAGCUCAGGGCUCAUUGUAUCCCUCAGAGAAGGAAGCUUAACAUGCGAUGGUGAUACUCCACAGUCUGUCUUCAGCGUCUUUAUUUCAUGUCACAGGGACAGAAGAGAGAGCAGGUGGUGUGAUAAAGUAAUUAUGCACCGAAACUUAAAGUGCAGUUCACCUCAUCACUCUGUAGCAGCAGAGAUGAAAAUAAGCCAUGAUAAUGCCAGCACUCACCUGAAUAAAAAGAUUGCCCUGGUUGUAAUAGCAUUCAUUUGUUCCUUCAUACUGCUCCUUGUGCAGAAAGUUCAUCCAAGAAAGAAAAAACUGACUUAGAAUAUAAAAACGAAGACGUUCACCUAGCAACUAACUGGAUGUGUUCCAGUACUUGCUGAACCCCCUGUGGAGUGUUUCUUAUUGAUUUGUCAUGGAAUCUAUCAAAAGACCUGUUUCAGCUGUAGAUGUGCUGCCUGUGAGACUGGAAUUGGUGAACCGUAUUGUGCUCUGUUCCUGGAAACCUUUCUGCCUCUGAGAUCAAAAGAAAAAUUAAAGUGUUUUAUUCUUUUCCUCUCCCUU
ensembl:lncRNA